CUUGUCAUGAUGAUCUUUUUUUAAUGCUACACAACCAAGAUCGCAGAAUGAUCGUGUUGAUAAACUUAUCUGAGGCU
rnacentral:snoRNA from 2 species